rnacentral:misc_RNA from 1 species
GAUGAAGAACGCAGCGAAAUGCGAUACGUAGUGUGAAUUGCAGAAUUCAGUGAAUCAUCGAAUCUUUGAACGCACAUUGCGCCCGCCAGUAUUCUGGCGGGCAUGCCUGUUCGAGCGUCAUUUCAACCAUCAAGCCCCAGGCUUGUGUUGGGGACCUGCGGCUGCCGCAGGCCCUGAAAACCAGUGGCGGGCUCGCUGUCACACCGGGCGUAGUAGAUUUUAUCUCGCUCAGGGCGUGCUGCGGGUUCCGGCCGUUAAAAAGCCUUUUUUACCCAAGGUUGACCUCGGAUCAGGUAGGAAGACCCGCUGAACUUAAGCAUAUCAAUAAGCGGAGGA